GCGGGACUGGUCUAGUCUGGUCUAGGACGUCAGCCUCCCAAGCUGGAGAUCCCGGGUUCAAAUCCCGGGUCCCGCA
rnacentral:tRNA from 1 species